rnacentral:piRNA from 1 species
UNGGAAGUGCUGUCAUCAGAACAAAAUGC